UACGUAGGGUGCGAGCGUUGUCCGGAAUUACUGGGCGUAAAGAGCUCGUAGGUGGUUUGUCGCGUUGUUCGUGAAAUCUCACGGCUUAACUGUGGGCGUGCGGGCGAUACGGGCAGACUGGAGUACUGCAGGGGAGACUGGAAUUCCUGGUGUAGCGGUGGAAUGCGCAGAUAUCAGGAGGAACACCGGUGGCGAAGGCGGGUCUCUGGGCAGUAACUGACGCUGAGGAGCGAAAGCGUGGGGAGCGAACGGG
rnacentral:rRNA from 1 species